GCCGCUUCCUGUGUGAGAAGUUUUUUAUUUAGUUGAAUUAAAUUCAAAUCUAGGUAGUGUUUUCAGUAGUUAAUAGCUUUUUUUUUGCCAUGUAGCAUUUCUUUCUUAAGGGUAGGGCGGCUUUAGUGUAUCUUAACUUCUUCUAGUGUGAAGUAAUUGGUAGCUUGAUCAAAUAUAUUUUCAGAGUUGCUUCCCCAAUACUGCCCAGAGCAAAACAUUGAUAAGAUUAUUUGUGAUCAUUAAUAUUUGAAGAUUAAAAAACGAUAUCCAGAAUACUAGAGUAGAAUAUUUGCCACACUUUGAACCAUUUAGGACCCUAAACAAAAGGAAAAAGAUAAGGGCUGCAUUCAAUCUUAUCGCAGAAGUAUCGUUAUAUAUAGCAAGCUCGAUUGAAAUUUAAAGGUUCAUUUAGACUGCAUUCGCCGUAAACACAUAUGUCGGCUCAAUCGGAAAUGACCUUUAAAUUGGAACCCGGAUUUUAAGCGAAACGGGAUGAAUCCAGCCCUUACAUGCCGUUUACACUAUUAUUGGCCGAACUCCCUUAGCCACGCCCUCAUGGGGGGUGCUAACAAACUAUCAUGUAGCUAGGUAGUGCUACAUAUCAACAGCCAUUGUCAGCCAAUCCAGUAGGGGUUGGAAGCAAUGGUGAGCUUCGAUUGGUCACUCACGUUGCGUUAACGCGGAAGGUUUUAAUAAAGUUCAGCUUUCCCCAAUUUUAGUCCCGUCCUGUUCAGCUCCCUCGCCCAUGCUCUCAUCGCUCAAUGGUCCCCCGCCCACCCGGUUUCUCUUGCUUUCCUUCCAUUGAAAGGGAAUUGGCUUCCGGUGUUUCACCGCGCGAUGCAUCCUUCUGGUGUAAACUCACCGUUAGUGUCACUUCUUAUUUAUAACAAAUGCUGAUCAAUCAUGGCUAAUCCCUUUUAAUAUCUGGAAAUGCUUUCCUUGCGGGUCCAGUUUUAACACCAAGAUUAGUCCUCAUACCUCUCGAUGGAGCGGCUAAUGGGGAUCACUAAAUACUCCCAGAAUUAAAGCUAUAAGAUUCUUUAGGCUGGACCAGAUGCAGAUGAGGGGCAUGCCUUUGCCGUGCUAGUGCCGCAGUCUGUGAUGACUCCAUCGGUGGUGUCUGGCUCCUCCGUGGGCAGCAGAUGGCUUGAAGGACCAGUGGCUGGAGGAUCUGCAAGCAAGUGAUGGCAGACGGAAACACCAUCAAAGCGAGGGAUGGCAUGGCACUGCAGAGGACCCGACACCAAAGCCCUGGUCUAUUGACCAAUCCUAUCUAACACGAUGACCAGCUCAAUUCAUUAUUGAGAUGAGUAGCUCAGCUAAUACAAGUCAAAACACUAUUAACAGUUAAUCCAGUUCAUAGCAGUGAAAAUGUUUACAUUAUUUGUCAGAAACAGAUUGUUUUUGAUCAGUUCUGGCACGUACAGUAUUAGUCAUGUUUAUGGAAGUGCCAAAAGGUUAGUGCUUUCGGGGCUAUGUAUGACCCUUGGAUUUGCUGCUAGGUUUAUAAUACACUGAUGUGGGAAAUAAAGUACUGUUUUGACCCUGAA